rnacentral:tRNA from 1 species
GCCUGGGUGGCUCAGUCGGUGGAGCAUCUGACUUCGGCUCAGGUCAUGAUCUUUUGGUUUGUGGGUUCAAGCCCCGCGUCGGGCU